GCAGGUGUGCCGGAGCGGUCAAACGGGACAGACUCAAGAUCUGUUGGCUUAGUGCCUACGAAGGUUCGAAUCCUUUCGCCUGCA
rnacentral:tRNA from 1 species